rnacentral:rRNA from 1 species
AGUAACACGUGGGGAACCUGCCCCAUAGUCUGGGAUACCACUUGGAAACAGGUGCUAAUACCGGAUAAGAAAGCGGAUCGCAUGAUCAGCUUUUAAAAGGCGGCGUAAGCUGUCGCUAUGGGAUGGCCCCGCGGUGCAUUAGCUAGUUGGUAAGGUAAAGGCUUACCAAGGCGAUGAUGCAUAGCCGGGUUGAGAGACUGAUCGGCCACAUUUGGACUGAGACACGGCCCAAACUCCUACGGGAGGCAGCAGAA